UACGGGGGGAGCAAGCGUUGUUCGGAUUUACUGGGCGUAAAGGGCGCGUAGGCGGCCAGCGCAAGUCAGUUGUGAAAUCUCCGGGCUUAACUCGGAACGGUCAACUGAUACUGCGCGGCUAGAGUGCAGAAGGGGCAACUGGAAUUCUCGGUGUAGCGGUGAAAUGCGUAGAUAUCGAGAGGAACACCUGCGGCGAAGGCGGGUUGCUGGGCCGACACUGACGCUGAUGCGCGAAAGCCAGGGGAGCAAACGGG
rnacentral:rRNA from 1 species